UUUUCACCAUGAUUCAAACGUAAUGGCGAGUCGUGAAGAGGAGCGUCGUCAAUUACUUUUUUUUUGUGAAAUUCCUUUUAUUUCCAUCGAUCUUGACACAGGCCUUCUAGAAUAUUGGCUAUUUGAUGAUCUCACUGGACGGUUUUUUAAUUCAUCGACGGCAGAAUUUUUUCAGUGUAACAUCACAUGGGAGACUCUGAUUGAUAACACCCAUCAACGAGAAGAUUAACUACAAAAUGCCACGUAAAUAUGUGAGAGUCAAAACUAAUGUUUUGCCAACAGAUGAGGCUUUGAAGAAUGCAAUAGUAGCUGUCCACUCAAAAGUACUAAGCAUCAGACACGCUGCUGAGAGAUUUAAUCUUUCCAAAUCAACAGUUGGAUUUUAUUGUAAAAGACAUACUUUGGAAUCCAUCGUCUUGGAUCCAAAAACAACAAUUAAGACAAAACAUCACUCCCAAAUAUUUUCAAGGACACAAGAAGACGAAU